rnacentral:rRNA from 1 species
GAUGAACGCUGGCGGCGUGCCUAAUAAAUGCAAGUCGAGCGAACGGACGAGAAGCUUGCUUUUCUGAUGUUAGCGGCGGACGGGGGAGUAAAACGUGGAUAACCUACCUAUAAAACUGGGAUAACUUCGGGAAACCGGAGCUAAUACCGGAUAAUAUUUUGAACGGCAUGGUUCAAAAGUGAAAGACGGUCUUGCUGUCACUUAUAGAUGGAUCCGCGCUGCAUUAGCUAGUUGGUAAGGUAACGGCUUACCAAGGCAACGAUGCAUAGCCGACCUGAGAGGGUGAUCGGCCACACUGGAACUGAGACACGGUCCAGACUCCUACGGGAGGCAGCAGUAGGGAAUCUUCCGCAAUGGGCGAAAGCCUGACGGAGCAACGCCGCGUGAGUGAUGAAGGUCUUCGGAUCGUAAAACUCUGUUAUUAGGGAAGAACAUAUGUGUAAGUAACUGUGCACAUCUUGACGGUACCUAAUCAGAAAGCCACGGCUAACUACGUG